rnacentral:rRNA from 1 species
UACGUAGGGUGCGAGCGUUAAUCGGAAUUACUGGGCGUAAAGCGUGCGCAGGCGGUUUUGUAAGCCAGAUGUGAAAUCCCCGGGCUUAACCUGGGAAUGGCAUUUGGGACUGCAAGGCUUGAGUGCGGCAGAGGAGACUGGAAUUCCUGGUGUAGCAGUGAAAUGCGUAGAUAUCAGGAGGAACACCGAUGGCGAAGGCGGCACGCUGGACCUUUUCUGACGCUGAGGCGCGAAAGCCAGGGGAGCGAACGGG